GGGGCGAUUCUUGCAAGAAUUCAGAAAAAGAUACGGGACAUGGACACGUGGCAGGAACCCGUUUAAUCUCAGCCACAAGAAAUCUCAGUGCCCACAGCCAAAAGAUCCAAUCUUUUCCACUCCUCCAAAUUCUGGACAAUUCCAUUGAAAAGAAUUUUACAUUUUAAUAUUAGUAGUAUUGGAGUAUUAGAUAAUUUAGAUUAGAUAUGUGGCAAAAAUCAGCAUAAUCCUACGUGGCUAUAGCUCCUCUCUGGUCAGAUUUCUCUUAAUUGUCCUUCAUAUUUAUACACCUUUGAGUCUGCAACUAUUCCUCUCUUUUCUCUCUCUAUCUCUCUAACUGUUAUUAUACCACACACAAAUGUGGGAGGUGGUGAUUUGAGUAGUAAAGCUCCAGUCUUUGCCUUUCUUGAAUCAGUUCUUGUUUUUGCCCAAUCUUGGAGCUAUGGCUGCUGAAGUUAAGGAUCAUGUCUGCCCUACCUUGGUAUACUUUAAUAGGCUCCUAGGUUGGAUUUGUUUCAGGCACGCCUCGUGGUAACGUUUAUUGCCACGUGGAGAACAUGUCUGCCCUACCUUGGUAUACUCAUCCAGUAUACACAUGCCCAGAGAGCCAAAUGUAGAUGGUUCAAACAGUGGAACGAUGGGCAAAAUGGUGAUGCUCUGCGGGGAAAAGAGCAUGCAUAUGAUAUGCUCAUAGCAUUGGCGUCUUUCAUGUAUAAUCUCGCCGAUGCUGAGCAGAACAGGGCUUGAUCUAAGUGAUUGCCUUCUGGAGUUGUGUUUCAGAUUCUAUUGUUAUCAUUUUUUGUAAUCUGAGACUUUCAAGUAUUCAAAUUAGCUGCAAAACCAGUUUUUUUUUUCUCUUGUUCUCUUCUCCGUCUCCUUGCUUUAGUAAUCCAAGUGUUGGUUACUGAAAUCAUGAUUUACUGUAUGUAACAUGAAACACUUUUUCUA